rnacentral:rRNA from 1 species
AGAAGCUUGCUUCUUGGGUGACGAGUGGCGGACGGGUGAGUAAUGUCUGGGAAACUGCCUGAUGGAGGGGGAUAACUACUGGAAACGGUAGCUAAUACCGCAUAACGUCGCAAGACCAAAGAGGGGGACCUUCGGGCCUCUUGCCAUCAGAUGUGCCCAGAUGGGAUUAGCUAGUAGGUGGGGUAACGGCUCACCUAGGCGACGAUCCCUAGCUGGUCUGAGAGGAUGACCAGCCACACUGGAACUGAGACACGGUCCAGACUCCUACGGGAGGCAGCAGUGGGGAAUAUUGCACAAUGGGCGCAAGCCUGAUGCAGCCAUGCCGCGUGUAUGAAGAAGGCCUUCGGGUUGUAAAGUACUUUCAGCGGGGAGGAAGGCGAUACGGUUAAUAACCGUGUCGAUUGACGUUACCCGCAGAAGAAGCACCGGCUAAC